rnacentral:rRNA from 1 species
UACGAAGGGGGCUAGCGUUGCUCGGAAUCACUGGGCGUAAAGGGCGCGUAGGCGGCUCGCGAGGUCGGGGGGUGAAAAUCCCGCGGCUCAACCGCGGAAGGGCCUCCGAUACCGGCGGGCUGGAGGGAGGUAGGGGUGCGCGGAACUUCUGGUGGAGCGGUGAAAUGCGCAGAUAUCAGGAGGAACACCGGUGGCGAAGGCGGGACUCUGGGCCGAUACUGACGCUGAGGAGCGAAAGCGUGGGGAGCAAACAGG